rnacentral:rRNA from 1 species
GACGAACGCUGGCGGCGUGCCUAAUACAUGCAAGUAGAACGCUGAAGGAGGAGCUUGCUUCUCUGGAUGAGUUGCGAACGGGUGAGUAACGCGUAGGUAACCUGCCUGGUAGCGGGGGAUAACUAUUGGAAACGAUAGCUAAUACCGCAUAACAGUAGAUAUCGCAUGAUAUCUACUUGAAAGGUGCAAUUGCAUCACUACCAGAUGGACCUGCGUUGUAUUAGCUAGUUGGUGAGGUAACGGCUCACCAAGGCGACGAUACAUAGCCGACCUGAGAGGGGGAUCGGCCACACUGGGACUGAGACACGGCCCAGACUCCUACGGGAGGCAGCAGUAGGGAAUCUUCGGCAAUGGACGGAAGUCUGACCGAGCAACGCCGCGUGAGUGAAGAAGGUUUUCGGAUCGUAAAGCUCUGUUGUAAGAGAAGAACGAGUGUGAGAGUGGAAAGUUCACACUGUGACGGUAUCUGACCAGAAAGGGACGGCUAACUACGUG